AUUUCUUUAAUUUAUGCAACAACAUACCAAUACUAAUGAUUUACGAUAUGCUUAGGCAAGAGGUGCAAACAUUUAUGUAUAGUUCUUGAGGGGAAGCUUUACAUCUGAUGCAUACCACAUGACCGAGCCUCAUCCUAAUGGUCUCUAGAAUCAGGGAAGAGGACUUGAAGCAAGGAAUGAUCCCAGGUGAGGAGCCCAUUGAUGGAGAGUACAUGAGGAUCCAGAAUACUCCAUCACACCUUGCAGGAGUUCGAGAGGUCCACAGUUGUGACGUAAUGCAAGCAUAGGUAUUCAGUGGUUUCAAUUUUAGGAAAAA